GGAAGUGUGUCCGAGUGGUUUAAGGAGCACGCUUGGAAAGCGUGUAAAGGCGCAAGUCUUUCACAGGUUCGAAUCCUGCCACUUCCGCCA
rnacentral:tRNA from 1 species